AGGUUGAUUUUAACUUGUUUGAAGACCUCCAUCAUCUCUUCUAAUGAAGUUUCCUUCUUGCCAAAGGGAGAGGGUGCAUUAAGUGCUUCAGGGAAUGGAGCCUUUGGAAUGUGGGUUGUGGCAGAUGGUGGACUAGCUGAAGAAGGUUUUGGGUUUUCAUGUGAUACAUUCCUCUCCUCUUCUUCACCUUCCUUAUUGUUACCCUCC
rnacentral:lncRNA from 1 species